CUCUUUUUCCCCUGGUGCUCUCCUGAUAGAUGACCAAGAAAGAAGGUGGCACAGAAGCAAGCAGCUACCCAGCUGAUACCAGCAGAUAUAUUUUCAACAUGUGUAUAUUCAGAAGAACCUGGAGGAACUGGGAAAACAGAUUUUUAACAAAACAGGCUUUUAGUGUGCUACUGGACGAUGGAAUGGAAGAAGUUGCCAUACAUUGCCAAUAAAUGGAAGGAGAACAUAAUAAUGUAGACAGAAACACUGUUUAAAAGGAACCCAAGUAGACUCAAAUGGAAUAAUACAGCUCAAAAAGAUCACUGCAUCUGCUUCCAUCACCAGACAUUUGUCGCAAGCUCAGCAUCAGCCAUGCUACCCCAAGGCACCUAUCAGGAUCAGUGACAUCUUUAAUUAAUCCAGUCAAGACGAAAA